rnacentral:ncRNA from 1 species
UUGUUGAGACGCAGCAAUUGCUUCUUGAUAGUUUCUCCUCUAUUUCUCCUUUGUAGACUUGGCGCGGACAAAUGUCCGCGCAUUUUU